rnacentral:misc_RNA from 1 species
GCAGGCUCACAUAGCCGUUGAUAUGUUUAUCGUGUUCUGCGCAUUGAUAACCAAAUAUCACGUACCCGGGGUGGCGACACGUAACACGUCUCCUGCCACUCAGUCAACAUGGCAUGAUGUCACUGUUAUCAACACUGCCGUCUAGUCACACAUCAAAGGCUUUUUCUCAGAAAUGACUUCCUUGGGACCUCCGGGUACAUACCUAGGUAAGUCUUUCUCCUACCCGCGCCUCAAACGCUUCAAUGAACUCUUCUGCAUUUUAUUGACUGUGGGAGGGGGCGUGUUUCAUUUUUUUUUACAAUUUUCUGAAACACAUUAGCUAAACUUUCUGCAGUGGUGUCAUGGAGUUUAGUUGAACGAAGUUCAGAUGUGCCACUGAACAUUAGAAGAAACAAUGGGAAAAGAAAAUGCGGGUGGAGACAUCUAAAGGUGUGGUCAAGCAGACACACAGACCGCAUCCAUGCAGACUGCACUGGGUCCUCCUCCUGGUCACUAGCUUGACCUUCUGUACCCUGUAUUUCAGCAAACGUGUGUCCAAGUUCAUCUUGCAGUCGGCUGGCUUCACUCACUUGCACGUUUAGUGAGGAUGUUCGCGAGAAUCGACGAGAUUUCAAGAUCGUCGAUAAACAUUCAGUGACUGCACUUAAAUGCAUGUGGAGAAACGAUGAGUCGUACUGUCAUGUGGAGCAGGCUACCGUUACAACUGGACUGUGACAGACAGUGUCACCAUCCAGAAGCCUUAUGACACACAACUGCCAACAUGUUCGUGCUACAUUGUCAGUGCAGACAAAAGUGAUCAUGAACGACCGUGCAGUGUUGAAGACAUGACCGUGGAGCAAGCGGCCCAAAACAACCAAACAGCAGGAGACAGACAGUUGCUGGCGUACGGCGCAAAAGACCGGGCAGUGUGUGACAUCCCACCUACAGAUGUAAACAGCACCGUGACACUAACAUGUUAUUUCCCUGCUGAUGUCAGUGUAAACAAGAAGAAUUUCAUUGUGUAUCACUCAGUCACUACUCAAGCCCCAGUUGCUGUUAUAAAUGCAACAUGGUAUGAAGGCCAGUACCUGUUUUCUCUCGCCCCCGGCUUUGGUCUGGAGGGCUCUCAGUCGGAUGGUCGUGCCUUCACCUUUUACAUACUGCAGGUCAGCAAGGGUCACAAUGGAAUGUACUCCUGCAAUCCUGAUGGGUAUCACGACGGUGACAUCAAGGGAUGUGAACUGGUCCUAAACAAGAGUCUGUUUCAGGUGGAAGUGAAUCAGUAGACAGCCAUGAACAGAAAGGAAACAGCACAGACUGCUCUAAUCAUUCUAAGACGACAGACAUUUAUUUCAUUUUAUUUAUCAUCGCCACCGUCUUAUCCGUCUGCAUUCCUCUCGUUUGUCUGAUCUUCGUAUUGCGCAG